GACCACGUGUCUUCUUCCCUCCAGACUUGGCCACGGCUGAUAGACUCCCUGAGAAGGACAGGGAGACCGGAAACCCUGUAAGUCUGCCUGGGUCAUCUCCCGCUGCAUAAGGAAGUCCCCAGAUUAGCAGCCCAGCAACACGUCCCUAUUUCUUGGGUCAGGACGUUGGGAGCAGCUGAACUGGCUGGUUCUGGCUCAGGUCUGUCAUGACGCUGCAGUAGAGGUGUCCACUAGGUUGCAGGAAUCUGUAGGCCUGCCUGGGCAGGAGGACUCACGUCCAAGGUGGUGUACCCCACAUCCAAGGUGGCACACCCCACAGCAGAUGGCUUACCCAGAGGGAAACCAGGACUGGGAUGGGCAGAGGACACACUGUCUUCUGUGGCCUCACUGGAGUGACCUGCCACCACUUCUGCCACUUCUGGUGGUCCCACAGAUCAGCCCUGGUACCCUGUGUGCAGGGACUGCAAGAUGAUGUGAUCCAGGAGGUGGGGCCCUGGGAGGUGGCUGCCAUAGUCCCCCACCCCACAGCCCCCACCCUCAUCCAGGGUCCCUCUCCCUCAGACCCCUGCUGCAAGAGAUCCCCAGGAGGUGACAUAUGCUCAGCUGGACCACGGAGCCCUCACAGAGAGGGCAGCCCGAGCUGGGUCCCCACUGACCACAGAGCCCAGCACAUACGCGACCCUUGCCAGACACUGACUCCUGGGCCUGAGGACACUCCAAGCCACUCUUCCAAAAGCGUGAAGCAGCCAUUGGGAGGACUUCUCUUGGACUCACCAGGUCUCAAAGUCAGCCAGUCAGCUCUGCUGGGGACAGCAGCUGGGGCCUGGAGGUCUCUGAGCAGCAUCUGGGAGAUUCAUCCACCAGGUGGCCCCUGCCACAGCUGACCAGCUGUCAGAGAGGCUGUGUCACAGCUACUUCCAGAGACCCAGCCUCAGUCCCUGGCUGUUUCCAGAGACCAGAAACCAAGGUCUCAUCCUAAGGCUGCUUCCAGAGAACCAGCAAAGGCCACUCCUGGGAUCCCCACCUACUUCAGAGACUGCAUACUGAUGAUGCUCAGUGGUCCCUAACCGCCUCCCUGGGUUCCAGUGCUGACUUGACUGAGACUGGGCUGCACUCAGGCUGCCGAGAGCUGAGCUGGAUCUCUGGGCCAGACCUCACUUGGUACAUCAAUGGACAUCUUUAAAACAGAACAUCCCAGCCCCGGUGGUCAGGCCAGAGAGGUUCAUGUGGACCCAGUGCUGCGGUCUCAGCUGUUCAGAGCAGAGUGGGGGCUACAAGGGCUGUCAGUGCUUCCUGUUUUCUGCAGAACAUAUCGAAUUGAGCAAGGCUGCAUAUAUUCGGGGUGUGCGCCAUGAGGACCUGACCCAGGCAUGCGCCCUGUAGAUUUCCAGAAUCAAACCCUCAGCACAGCUGCACCUGCACGCUGCACGUUAGAUCCCGGGACUUGCUCAUCUGAAGACUGGAAGCCGGUCAGUGUUUCCUGAUGGAGCAUGAGGGUCGGGGUGGAGAAGGGAGGGGGUCUAAAGGGAGGUGCAGAGGGCAAAGGCUGCCCCACCCACCCCCACCACACUCAUGCACAUUCAGGCACACCUAACACAUGCCUUCGCAACACGGCCCACGCUUCCGUGCACACACAGGCACAUUGCACACACCCACUCUCACACCCCAGGAAAACCCCGAGUACCCGUGGGAUGGGUGAGGUGUCUCCUGUUUCAGAUUAAAAUAGAACAAUUACCCUGUGGACCACUAGGGGGCGGGAGUGCCUCAUCUUGAUUAAUAUGUGUGUCUGUCUCAAAAACCAAUCAAUCAACAAACAAAUAAAUAAAAAGAAGAAUCCCAAAG
rnacentral:lncRNA from 1 species